GGCAACGACCAUACCACGUUGAAUAAUACCGGUUCUCGUCCGAUCACCGAAGUUAAGCAACGUCGGGCGCGGUUAGUACUUGGAUGGGUGACCGCU
rnacentral:rRNA from 1 species